ACAAACACACACACACAUUCUGUAUUCACUAUACAAACUGCAUCCACUACGCAAACAUACAGUUUGCAUUCAUUAUACAAACACAUUCUGAAUCCAUUAUACACACUGCAUCAACUACACUCACUUUACACACACACACACACACACACUAUAUACACACUCUCUGCAUCCACUAUAAACACACCGCAUUCACAUCCACACACACACUGCAU